rnacentral:rRNA from 1 species
GACGAACGCUGGCGGCGUGCUUAACACAUGCAAGUCGAACGGAGAAGCCCUGCUUUUGUGGUUUGCUCGAGUUGCGAACGGGUGUGUAACCCGUGAGUAGCCUGCCCUUUACUUUGGGAUACCUUCACGAAACUGUAGCUACUACCAGCUAGGAUCACCUGCUUCAUAGUUUGGGUUGGAACGUUUCGGCGGUUGGGGAUGUACUCGCGGCUUAUCAGCUUGUGGGUGGGGUAGGGGCUUUCCAAGGCUUUGACGGGUAGCCGGCCUGGGAGGGUGACCGGACACAUUGGGACUGAGAUACGGCCCAGACCACUACGGGAGGCAGCAGUGGGGAAUAGUGCACAAUGGGAGGAAGCCUGAUGCAGCAAAGCCGCGUGGGGGAUGACGGCAAGCGGGUUGUAAACCGCUUCCGCCUGCGACGAAGAGUGAGUGACGGUAAUGGGUAAAGAAGCACCGGCUAACUACGUG